rnacentral:rRNA from 1 species
GAUGAACGCUGGCGGCGUGCCUAAUACAUGCAAGUCGAGCGAACAGACGAGGAGCUUGCUCCUCUGACGUUAGCGGCGGACGGGUGAGUAACACGUGGAUAACCUACCUAUAAGACUGGGAUACUUCGGGAAACCGGAGCUAAUACCGGAUAAUAUAUUGAACCGCAUGGUUCAAUAGUUAAAGACGGUUUUGCUGUCACUUAUAGAUGGAUCCGCGCCGCAUUAGCUAGUUGGUAAGGUAACGGCUUACCAAGGCAACGAUGCGUAGCCGACCUGAGAGGGUGAUCGGCCACACUGGAACUGAGACACGGUCCAGACUCCUACGGGAGGCAGCAGUAGGGAAUCUUCCGCAAUGGGCGAAAGCCUGACGGAGCAACGCCGCGUGAGUGAUGAAGGUCUUCGGAUCGUAAAACUCUGUUAUUAGGGAAGAACAAAUGUGUAAGUAACUAUGCACGUCUUGACGGUACCUAAUCAGAAAGCCACGGCUAACUACGUG